rnacentral:rRNA from 1 species
ACCGUGGUAAUUCUAGAGCUAAUACAUGCUAAAAACCCCGACUUCGGGAGGGGUGUAUUUAUUAGAUAAAAAACCAAUGCCCUUCGGCUCCUUGGUGAGUCAUAAUAACUUAACGAAUCGCAUGGCCUUGCGCCGGCGAUGGUUCAUUCAAAUUUCUGCCCUAUCAACUUUCGAUGGUAGGAUAGUGGCCUACCAUGGUUUCAACGGGUAACGGGGAAUUAGGGUUCUAUUCCGGAGAGGGAGCCUGAGAAACGGCUACCACAUCCAAGGAAGGCAGCAGGCGCGCAAAUUACCCAAUCCCAACACGGGGAGGUAGUGACAAUAAAUACUGAUACAGGGCUCUUUCGGGUCUUGUAAUUGGAAUGAGUACAAUCUAAAUCCCUUAACGAGGAACAAUUGGAGGGCAAGUCUGGUG